UCAAGAUUGCUGGGAGAAAUAUCAAUAACCUCAGAUAUGCAGAUGACACUACCCUUACAGCAGAAAGUAAAGAAGAACUAAAGUGCCUCUUGAUGAACAUGAAAGAGGAGAGUGAAAAAGCUGGUUUAAUUAUGAACAAUGCUAUAUUUCUGUUGGGAAAGACUGAGGGCAGGAGAAGACGGUGACAGAGGAUGGAUAUCUCACUGACUCAAUGGACAUGAGUUCGAGCAAACUCUGGGAGAUAGUGAAGGACAGGGAAGCCUGGUGUGCUGCAGUCCAUGUGUUGCAAAGAGUUGGACACGACUUAACAACUGAACAACAACAAUUUCACUCUCAGAGGUGUUCCAGUUAGAUGAUGUGUUUUAAGAAAGCAACUGAAUGCCCUCACUUCCAGUAAUCCUCCUAAGCCUUGUUAAUGGAGGUGUUUGGGGCAGGAGGCCAUUUCAUAUGCUGUCUGAAUCACAGAGCUCACAGGGUUCAGUCACAGCAAGAAAUUCCAUGGAGAGUGGGAAUCACAGAAAGGACUGAAGAGAGCUGCCGCAUGGCCCCUCUGCUCUGGGAGAAACCAGCACCUGUGGAAGUCCAGCUACUUCAAGACCACCAUGCUGUGAGGAAGCCCAGUCUAGCCAUAUGGAGAGAUACUGUGCCAGCCCCAAGCCACUCCAGACAUCCCAGACCAGACACCACAGAGCUGCAUAAAGAAGCCUUCAGAUGAACUUGGCCUUAGCUUUAGACUGGCUACACAAUCCCAGAGACCUCAAGUGAGAACCACCCGGCUGAUCCUAUCAACCUCCACAGCCAUGAGCAGUAAUAAUACAUUAUUGUUUCACUCUGCUAAGUUUUGGAGUGGUUCGUUAAGCAGCACCAGAUAACUGGAACAGUGAGUAAGGGAGAAGUGAGUGCCAGGGGUGUGGCAGGAUACCAACAGUACGCUGCAGGGAAGCACAUGGAGUGAAAGAAAAAGCUAGUGUCUAGGCCUCAGAAAGGACACUCCAUUGAUCAGGUGACAGGGAAGAGUGGAAAAUCACUUCAGAGCACUGAUCUCUGUUGCUUUUUUGCUAGAGUCCCUCCACUCGAGUCAAGUUCCCAAGAGGGAAGGAGUCCC